UUGAACAAACCGGUGUUGGCUGAGCUGGCCUCUUCGGAGGCAUGUGCACGGCCCACCAUUGUUUCAUCCUUCUCUUCCACCUGUGCACUUCUGUGGGCCCACUCCAGCACACCUCGUGCGCUGGAAUCUGGUGCCUACGCUUUACUACCUACACCAUUGAAUGUUAAGAACGCAUGAAUAGGGCAUCUUGCCCAUAAACCUUAUA
rnacentral:misc_RNA from 1 species